rnacentral:rRNA from 1 species
AUGAACGCUGGCGGCGUGCCUAAUACAUGCCAGUCGAGCGAACAGACGAGGAGCUUGCUCCUCUGACGUUAGCGGCGGACGGGUGAGUAACACGUGGAUAACCUACCUAUAAGACUGGGAUAACUUCGGGAAACCGGAGCUAAUACCGGAUAAUAUAUUGAACCGCAUGGUUCAAUAGUGAAAGACGGUUUUGCUGUCACUUAUAGAUGGAUCCGCGCCGCAUUAGCUAGUUGGUAAGGUAACGGCUUACCAAGGCAACGAUGCGUAGCCGACCUGAGAGGGUGAUCGGCCACACUGGAACUGAGACACGGUCCAGACACCUACGGGAGGCAGCAGUAGGGAAUCUUCCGCAAUGGGCGAAAGCCUGACGGAGCAACGCCGCGUGAGUGAUGAAGGUCUUCGGAUCGUAAAACUCUGUUAUUAGGGAAGAACAAAUGUGUAAGUAACUAUGCACGUCUUGACGGUACCUAAUCAGAAAGCCACGGCUAACUACGUG